CACACCGCCAAAUUCAUACUGCACCCAUUUAACCCUCAUGCUGCCCGUGGGUACUGCAUUAUGCUAAUUUACCAUUAACACCUGCACCAUCUACACCAUAUCAAGUUUUUUUCAAAAUAUACACGAGUUUAGCAGAGCAGAGAUACCCCGUUGAGAAUGCAGUUGAUUUUAUGCCCAGUAGGGUGUGGUCAUUUGGCAUGGAUAUAUUCUUUUCAUAGCU
rnacentral:lncRNA from 1 species